GGAUUAGAUACCCUGGUAGUCCACGCCCUAAACGAUGUCUACUAGUUGUCGGGUCUUAAUUGACUUGGUAACGCAGCUAACGCGUGAAGUAGACCGCCUGGGGAGUACGGUCGCAAGAUUAAAACUCAAAGGAAUUGACGGGGACCCGCACAAGCGGUGGAUGAUGUGGAUUAAUUCGAUGCAACGCGAAAAACCUUACCUACCCUUGACAUGUCAGGAAUCCUCGAGAGAUUGAGGAGUGCCCGAAAGGGAGCCUGAACACAGGUGCUGCAUGGCUGUCGUCAGCUCGUGCCG
rnacentral:rRNA from 1 species